ensembl:snRNA U6 U6 spliceosomal RNA
GUGCUCGCCUCGGCAGCACAUAUACAAAAAUUGGAAGGAUACAGAGAAGAUUAGCAUGGCCCCUGCCCAAGGGUGACAUGCAAAUUCAAGAAGUGUUUCAUAGUUUU